GCACGGGAAGCAGCUGCACUUCAUGGUCAGAGAGCCCGCCGACUGCCGCUCCCUGACACGGCGCGGAGCAUCUGCCCCGGGGAUCCGGCUGAGCGAUCCGCCAGUCGGCAGCGAGCAGUGCAGGUCAAGUAUGUAACACUUAAUCUGCAAUAACCACCUAGUGUUCGAGAAGCCAUGUUUGGCAUACUGAUACUGGAAGGCAGCCCACCUCUAAUCAAGAGUUCCCAAUCUUAACAAAGGUGCACCCUAACUGGAUCACAGCUCAGCUUCAACGGAGCCACAUCAGAUGACAGCAGUGACAGGCCAUCUCCAUGCAGUGGGAGUGGAAGUACUUGUAUGGUAAAGAAGGUUGGGAAACAUUGUGACUAGUGCUUCUGCCCCACAGAUACACGGAGCUGAGUUCAAUUCUAACCUCAGGAUGAAGAAAAUUAAAGAUCAUCAGCAAUGUGCUCAGUCGUACAGGAAUGGGUAAUCAAUCACAAUACUCACUGCACUGAGAAAGAACCCGGUCUCAACCAGUCUGUAUCUGGUCAUUGUUAGAGGAUCAGCUGAAAUGGCUUUUCUUCCUGCUGCUGUACCCCAGUCACUUCUGGCCGGUGGCAACAAAACAAGGGAAAUAACUAAAUACUUUGUUAAUCACACUUUUCAUGGCAAAUGAUCAACACAAGCAAUAGUCUGUAACUUCCCUUUGGACUUGAAGGCAAUUCAAUGUGGCAGAACCGAGGUGAGGCGAGGUGGUGGGCCCAUCAUGGAGAACAAGUAAGAUCCAAGGAUCGAUUGUUUUAAGUGCCAUGUCAAAGGCUGAAUCGAGGCGGCAAGGCCCGGGCGCCAAAGCGUACCAAUUCGGCUGAACUCGCUGUUUGGCAGGAGACUUACAUGAUGUGCUGAAUUGGAAAGGUUGAUUACAGGCCGAAUUGAGCUGAUGAGGUCGAGGCACCAGAGCGUACUGAAUUGACUGAACUCAAUGCUUGGACAGAGGCUCAAGCACAGGGCCGCAUCGGAAUGGUCGGGUGCAGGGUGAGUCGAGGUGGUGGGGUCCAGGCCUCAGAGGGUGUCACGGUGACUGAACCCGACGGGUCAGAUUGAAAAGGUCAGGGUGUCAGGGCCCUAGGCAAGGGAAAGGGCCGGUUCAGACCACUGCUUCACGACUCCGCUCUGCACUGAACUCUCUUUGCAGAAUGCUAUUUGAUUGUGGUUAUUGUCUGCAUGAUGUGGGUUUUUUCUCUCUCUGCACAUUGGGUGUUUGACGGUCUUUUUUAAAGGGUUUUUUUCAUCUUCAUGGGUUUUUGGUGGGCAUAAUGUGUUCUUUUCUCUGUGCAAAGGGUGUUCGACGGACUUUUUUUCUAUAUUUUAUACAUCAAGGUCAUAUAAUAUAUACGUACUUUGAUAAUAAAGGAACUUUGCGUCUGAGCUAACCCCUAAGGAUCUAUACCCAAGUGUUGCUCUGCAAGGUUACCUCUGUAGGAACAGGGUACAGGUGUGGGCAGAUGACUCACUUCCACCUCACCCUCUCUCUCCUGUUCUACAAGAAAACAAGAAAUUAGGAGCAAGAGCAGGCUGCUUGGUCCCCCAAUCCUGAGUUUCCAAUAUGAUCAGGGCCUCAACACCUGUUGUCUGCCAACUCCCCAAGGUCCUCAUUUCCCUGGUCUUCAACACUGUACCUUCCCCUCUUUAAAUACCCUCACUGAACUAAUCCUUACACCUCUUUAGAUGGGAGGAUUCCAUAGAUUCCCCAUCCUCAGUUAUCUCCUUCCAUAUAAGGAAGUAUAUUCUUCCUUAAAUAAGGAGCCAAAACUCUGCAGAGUGCUCUAGGUGUGACCCUAAAGAAAAUACCGACUCCUCCCUAUCUCCAUCCUUGUGCAAUAAAGGCCAACAUGCCAACUACCUUUCUAACUGUGCUUUUCGCGAUUCAUGCACAAGAACAGUUAGAUCCUUCUGAACCUCACUCAUUCACAGGUUUUCUCAUUUAGAUAACAGUUUGCCUUUCCAUUCCUCUUACUGAAGUGCAUGAUCAAGCCAAGUUUUCACCCACUCUCUCAACCUGCCCUGUUGCAAAGUCCAAAUAGCAUCAUUGCAACAUACCCUCCCAUUUAUUUUCAAGUCAUCAGCAAACUUGGAUACCUUUACUUCGCACCACUCUUAUUUACUUAUUUUUUAAUUAAUUUUAUUUUAGGGUUACAGCAUGGAAUAGGCCCUUCCAGUCCAACGAGCCACACCACCCAGCAACCCACAUAUUUAACACUAACCCAGUCACAGGACAGUUUACCAUGACCAUUUAACCUACUAACCGGUACUUCUUUUCAUGUGGUACUUCUUCCUUCUCUGAAGAAACCAGGGCACCCGGAGGAAACCCAAACACGAGGAAAUUUACAGAUGCUGGAAAUUCAAGCAACACACACAAAAUGCUGGUGGAACACAGCAGGCCAGGCAGCAUCAAUAGGGAGAAGCACUGUCGACGUUUCGG